GACGUAGGGCGCAAGCGUUGUCCGGAUUUAUUGGGCGUAAAGAGCUCGUAGGCGGCUUGUCGCGUCGACUGUGAAAACUCGGGGCUCAACUCCGAGCUUGCAGUCGAUACGGGCAGGCUAGAAUUCGGUAGGGGAGACUGGAAUUCCUGGUGUAGCGGUGAAAUGCGCAGAUAUCAGGAGGAACACCGGUGGCGAAGGCGGGUCUCUGGGCCGAUAUUGACGCUGAGGAGCGAAAGCGUGGGGAGCGAACAGG
rnacentral:rRNA from 1 species